rnacentral:rRNA from 1 species
UGCUGGCGAGUGGCGGACGGGUGAGUAAAAUCUGGGGAUCUGCCUGAUGAAGAGGGAUAACUACUGGAAACGGUAGCUAAUACCGCAUAAUGUCGUAAGACCAAAGUGGGGGACUUCUUUCGGGAAGCCUCACAUCAUCAGAUGAACCCAGAUGAGAUUAGCUUGUAGGUAGGGUAAUGGCCUACCUAGGCUACGAUCUCUAGCUGGUCUGAGAGGAUGACCAGCCACACUGGAACUGAGAUACGGUCCAGACUCCUACGGGAGGCAGCAGUGGGGAAUAUUGCACAAUGGGCGCAAGCCUGAUGCAGCUAUGCCGCGUGUAUGAAGAAGGCCUUCGGGUUGUAAAGUACUUUCAGCGAGGAAGAAAAGAUCAUUCCUAAUAAUAAUGAUAAUUGACGUUACUCGCAGAAGAAGCACCGGCUAACUCCGUGCCAGCAGCCGCGGUAAUACGGAGGGUGCGAGCGUUAAUCGGAAUUACUGGGCGUAAAGCGCACGUAGGUGGUUUGUUAAGUCAGAUGUGAAAUCCCUGGGCUUAACCUAGGAACUGCAUUUGAAACUGGCAAGCUAGAGUCUCGUAGAGGGAGGUAGAAUUCCAGGUGUAGCGGUGAAAUGCGUAGAGAUCUGGAGGAAUACCAGUGGCGAAGGCGGCCUCCUGGACGAAGACUGACACUCAGGUGCGAAAGCAUGGGUAGCAAACAGGAUUAGAUACCCUGGUAGUCCAUGCCGUAAACGAUGUCGACUUGGAGGUUGUAAGCUUGACUUGUGACUUCCGAAGCUAACGCGUUAAGUCGACCGCCUGGGGAGUACGGCCGCAAGGUUAAAACUCAAAUGAAUUGACGGGGGCCCGCACAAGCGGUGGAGCAUGUGGUUUAAUUCGAUGCAACGCGAAGAACCUUACCUGGUCUUGACAUCCAUAGAAUUUUUUAGAGAUAAAAAAGUGCCUUCGGGAACUAUGAGACAGGUGCUGCAUGGCUGUCGUCAGCUCGUGUUGUGAAAUGUUGGGUUAAGUCCCGCAACGAGCGCAACCCCUAUCCUUUGUUGCCAACGGUUAGGCCGGGAACUCAAAGGAGACUGCCGGUGAUAAACCGGAGGAAGGUGGGGAUGACGUCAAGUCAUCAUGGCCCUUAUGACCAGGGCUACACACGUGCUACAAUGGUAUAUACAAAAAGAAGCAAUCUUGCAAAAGUUAGCAAAUCUUAUAAAAUAUAUCGUAGUCCGGAUUGGAGUCUGCAACUCGACUCCAUGAAGUCGGAA